GGUCAAGUUUUUAAGGGCACACGGUGGAUGCCUUGGCAUUAGGAGCCGAAGAAGGACGUAGGAAUCUGCGAUAAGCCUGGGGGAGUUGAUAACCGAACGGUGAUCCCAGGAUGUCCGAAUGGGGAAACCCCGCCAGACGCGUUUUGCGUGAUCUGGUGACCCGCAUCUGAACACAUAGGGUGCGUGGGGGGAACGCGGGGAAGUGAAACAUCUCAGUACCCGCAGGAAGAGAAAACAAGAGUGAUUCCGUUAGUAGUGGCGAGCGAACGCGGAUGAGGCUAAACCGUUCCAUGUGUGAUAGCCGGCGGGCGUUGCAUGGGCGGGGUUGUGGGACUUUCCGUACUGGUUCUGCCGGACCGGUGGGGUGAGAGCAUGGACAUAGGUGAACGGUCUUGAAAGGCCGGCCGGAGAGGGUGUUAGCCCCGUAACCGUAAUGUUGUGUGCCGCCUGGAGAGGAUCCCAAGUAGCACGGGGCCCGAGAAAUCCCGUGUGAAUCUGUCAGGACCACCUGAUAAGCCUAAAUACUUCCUAAUGACCGAUAGCGGACCAGUACCGUGAGGGAAAGGUGAAAAGUACCCCGGGAGGGGAGUGAAACAGUACCUGAAACCGUGUGCUUACAAUCCGUCGGAGCCAGUCUGAUUCUGGUGACGGCGUGCCUUUUGAAGAAUGAGCCUGCGAGUUAGUGUUACGUCGCGAGGUUAACCCGUGUGGGGUAGCCGUAGCGAAAGCGAGUCUGAACAGGGCGAGUGUAGUGGCGUGAUCUAGACCCGAAGCGGAGUGAUCUACCCAUGGCCAGGUUGAAGCGACGGUAAGACGUCGUGGAGGACCGAACCCACUUCAGUUGAAAAUGGAGGGGAUGAGCUGUGGGUAGGGGUGAAAGGCCAAUCAAACUCCGUGAUAGCUGGUUCUCCCCGAAAUGCAUUUAGGUGCAGCGUUGCGUGUUUCUUGCCGGAGGUAGAGCUACUGGAUGGCCGAUGGGCCCUACAAGGUUACUGACGUCAGCCAAACUCCGAAUGCCGGUAAGUGAGAGCGCAGCAGUGAGACUGUGGGGGAUAAGCUUCAUAGUCGAGAGGGAAACAGCCCAGACCACCAACUAAGGCCCCUAAGCGUGUGCUAAGUGGGAAAGGAUGUGGAGUUGCGAAGACAACCAGGAGGUUGGCUUAGAAGCAGCCAUCCUUGAAAGAGUGCGUAAUAGCUCACUGGUCAAGUGAUUCCGCGCCGACAAUGUAGCGGGGCUCAAGUACACCGCCGAAGUUGUGGAUUUCAGAUAGUAGACAAGCCUUCGUGGUUCAGUCGUCUGGAGUGGUAGGGGAGCGUCGUGUGGGCGGUGAAGUCGCGGUGUAAACCAGCGGUGGAGCCUACACGAGUGAGAAUGCAGGCAUGAGUAGCGAAAGACGGGUGAGAAACCCGUCCGCCGAAUGAUCAAGGGUUCCAGGGUCAAGCUAAUCUGCCCUGGGUAAGUCGGGACCUAAGGCGAGGCCGACAGGCGUAGUCGAUGGACAACGGGUUGAUAUUCCCGUACCGGCGAAGGACCGCCCAUGCCAAGCGGGGGAUACUAACCGCCCGGAGCCUGCCCAAUCACCCUUGUGGUGUGCGGGUUUUGGCCGAGCGCGGGACCUGAUCCCGGGAGGUAAGCGUAUUAACAGGUGUGACGCAGGAAGGUAGCCGGGCCGGGCGAUGGUUGCCCCGGUCUAAGGAUGUAGGGUCAGCGAUAGGCAAAUCCGUCGCUGUGUCUUUGAUGACGUUCCUGAGAUCUGAUGGGACCCCCGU
rnacentral:rRNA from 1 species